GAUGAACGCUGGCGGCGUGCCUAAUACAUGCAAGUCGAGCGAACAGACGCUGCGCUUGCUCCUCUGACGUUAGCGGCGGACGGGUGAGUAACACGUGUAUCACCUCCCUAUCAUACUGGUAUCUCUUCGGGAAACCGGCGCUUAUCCCGUAUAAUAUCUUGAUCCAUAUUGUUCAUUAGUGAAUGACGGUUUUUCUGUCACUUCUCGCUGGUUCCGCGCCGCUUUAGCUAGUUGUUACGUUCACGGCUUAUCACGGCGACCAUGCCUGACCGACCUGAGAGGGUGAUAGGCCACACGAGAACUGGGACACGGACAAGACUCCUGAGGGAGGGAGCAGUAGCGAAUCUGACGCAAUGGGCGAGAGCAUGACGGAGCAACGCCGCGUGAGUGAUGAAGGUCUUCGGAUCGUAAAAAUCGGUUAUGAGGGAAGAACAAAUGUGGAAGUAACUAUGCACGGAGUGACGGUACCUAAUCAGAAAGCCACGGCUAACUACGUG
rnacentral:rRNA from 1 species